UUGUAGUUCGGGCGUUGACUGCACAAGUGAUCCAUAUAACAUAUAAAUUGGGCCUGAUUUAAAAAGAACUAAAGUGGGUCUGGUUAUGGGUCUUUCCAACCAUGGGCCAUGGGCUAUGGGCCAACGUUCGGCCGAUUGUAGAAUCGCCAUAUAUAAACACAGAGAAAGCUGAUCCCUUAACGGGGAGCCAGGCCGCUAGGGUUUGUGUGGUUUUGUCUUCGAAGAACUUUGAAGCGGGGAAAGCUCCAUCUCCGACGCCGCAACCAUAGGUCGUAUGCACAGUCGCGGUAAGGGUAUCUCUGCCUCUGCUCUGCCUUAUAAGGGAACUCCACCUAGUUGGCUUAAGAUUUCUUCUCAAAAUGUAAGGCAAUUGAAGACACACCUCACUUUCUAGUGUACUUUUUUACACUAGAAUAAUUAUUUUAUUUUUAAUUCUACUUUUUAUCAUAGAGCAGUGACUGUUUAUUAUUUAAUUUUUAUUUAGCGUUGGUCUUUAGAUUAUUUAUUAUUUAACUUUAUCAAUUUAA